rnacentral:rRNA from 1 species
GGGGAAUAUUGCACAAUGGGCGCAAGCCUGAUGCAGCAACGCCGCGUGAGUGAAGAAGGCCUUUGGGUCGUAAAGCUCUUUCGGCCAAGAAUAAGGGUUCUACGGUAAAUAAUCGUAGGAUUUGAAUGUACUGGAAGAAGAAGCACCGGCUAACUACGUGCCAGCAGCCGCGGUAAUACGUAGGGUGCGAGCGUUGUUCGGAAUCACUGGGCGUAAAGGGCGCGUAGGCGGGUUUGCAAGUCGAUUGUGAAAUCCCAAGGCUUAACCUUGGAGCUGCAGUCGAAACUGCAAGUCUUGAAUAUCUGAGAGGGUGGAGAAUUCCUGGUGUAGUAGUGAAAUACGUAGAUAUCAGGAGGUAUACCGGCGGCGAAGGCGCCUACCUGGCAGUAUAUUGACGCUGAGGCGCGAAAGCGUGGGGAGCAAAC